rnacentral:siRNA from 1 species
CCUAGUUUGUUUGUCAUCGCCGCC